rnacentral:rRNA from 1 species
CAGUCGCCACGGUAAUACGUAGGUGGCAAGCGUUACUCGGAGUUACUGGGCGUAAAGCGUGCGUAGGUGGUGGUUUAAGUCUGCUGUGAAAGCCCUGGGCUCAACCUGGGAAUUGCAGUGGAUACUGGAUCACUAGAGUGUGGUAGAGGGAUGCGGAAUUUCUGGUGUAGCAGUGAAAUGCGUAGAGAUCAGAAGGAACAUCCGUGGCGAAGGCGGCAUCCUGGGCCAACACUGACACUGAGGCACGAAAGCGUGGGGAGCAAACAGGAUUAGAUACCCGCGUAGUCCCUGUCUCUUAUAC